UAAGUUGUGGGUGCCAGGUAUUGUGUCCCAGUGACGGGAAAGUGACUAAUGCAACAGCUGUAGCACUGGUGCACCGUGACCCUUGAUUUCCAAGAAGAUCCCACAUUAACUUCCCUUUUGGGAUCCUGUUAAAUCCUCUUCUCCUGACCCUCCAGCUUUGAUCCCUGCCUAUCUUUACUCCUAUCACACAGCUUUUGUGAUGCUGUCAGUGUCCCUGGAGGGGACUCCUCUUCGACUUGGAUGUGUGGACCUAGAAGCUCAUGAGUUCACCCCUGGGAAAGAGCAAGUAUCUCUGCCACUGGACAGCUUUGGCUUUGUUCACUUUCACCUGGAGGUUCAUUCCAGGAGCCUGGUUUUAAACAAGAUUAAACAUGCACACAGCUGAAGUCAGACAGGGUACUAUAGAAACGCUGAAAGAGGGGACUUAAAGCUUAGCUCCUCCGGACAGUCUAGAUUCAGCCCACAGCAAAUGUUCUCUACAGCUGCUGCUCUUCUGGUAAACAGAAGAGAAAAGAAGAAAUAAGUCAUCAUCUGCCUGUUUAAACUGUCCCAAACGGAGAUGCUAAUUGGUAGUGUGUGUGACAUGUAGCAUGGGUGUUUUUCUUUACUUUUUUUUUUGUUUGUUUGUGUUUUAGCUCUACUUGAUUGGAACUGUUGCCUAUCAAAAGACCUCUAAAUUCUAAAUAAAAAGAAAAAUAAUUUCACUUAUAAAGCCCUGAUGUCUAAGUUUUGAAAUAUGGCUGAUGCCUUGAUCUCAGCUCAAAAUACAGAGCCAGGUUUGGUGGAAGAUCCCCUCAGACUGUAGAGUCUUCAUUAUUAUAAAUGAAGAAGCUGAGAUGGGUUGAGGGGGGCAUCAGAUUCUCGCAGCAUUUUCCUAGGGGAGGGUUUAGUUUUGCUACCCAUCAUGGAACCUAAAUGACUCAAGUAGCCUGGCAAACAGAUGUGUCAUGUAG
rnacentral:lncRNA from 1 species